AGAGUAAACUAGAAGUAAGGACAAGCUGCUAACUUGUAACUUUAGCGGUUUAACUCCGUUAUUACUCUU
rnacentral:tRNA from 1 species